AGGUUGGCUCAGAAGCAGCCAUCCUUUAAAGAGUGCGUAACAGCUCACUAGUCGAGUGACCCUGCGCCGAAAAUGUACCGGGGCUAAGCCUGAUACCGAAACUGCGGAUUGUAGGAAACUAUAGUGGUAGGGGAGCGUUGUAUACGAGCAGAAGCCGUACCGUGAGGAGCGGUGGAUUGUAUAGAAGUGAGAAUGCCGGUGUGAGUAGCGAGAUGUAGGUGAGAAUCCUACACACCGAAAGCCCAAGGAUUCCAGGGGAAGGUUCGUCCGCCCUGGGUAAGUCGGGACCUAACGCGAGGCCGAAAGGCGUAGUGGAUGGAAAGCAGGCGAAAGAUUCCUGCACCCGUAUAUGGAGCGAAGGAGUGACGGAGACGGAUAGUGUGACCCUCUUAAUGGAUUGAGGGCGAAGCGAAGCGGCUGGUUACCAGGCAAAUCCGGUAACCAAAAGGCUAGAGCGUGACAGGUAAGCGAAAUCUUCGGAAAGUAGCGAAGCACAUGAUGACGGCUUCCAGGAAAAGCUUCUGGCAAUGCAUAUGCGGCCCGUACCAAAACCGACACAGGUGGGCAGGGAGAGAAUCCCGAGGUGAGCGAGAGAACUGUUGCCAAGGAACUCGGCAAAAUGACUCCGUAAGUUAGCGAGAAGGAGUGCUUAAGCAAUUAAGCCGCAGUGAAGAGGCCCAAGCGACUGUUUAACUAAAACACAGCUCUCUGCGAAGUCGCAAGACGAAGUAUAGGGGGUGACACCUGCCCGGUGCUGGAAGGUUAAGAGGAUCUGUUAAGAGCGAUCUGAAGCAGUGAUCCGAAGCCCCAGUGAACGGCGGCCGUAACUAUAACGGUCCUAAGGUAGCGAAAUUCCUUGUCAGGUAAGUUCUGACCCGCACGAAAGGUGUAACGAUUUGGGCGCUGUCUCGGCAGCAGACUCGGUGAAAUCUUAGUACCUGUGAAAAUGCAGGUUACCCGCAACUAGACGGAAAGACCCCAUGGAGCUUUACUGCAGCCUGAUAUUGAAUUCUGGUCAUACAUGUACAGGAUAGGUGGGAGACAAAGAGACGUGCACGCCAGUGUACGAGGAGUCGACGUUGGGAUACCACUCUUGUGUGACCGGGGUUCUAACCUGGUAUCGAGAACAGGUACGGGGAGAGUGUCAGGUGGGCAGUUUGACUGGGGCGGUCGCCUCCCAAAGAGUAACGGAGGCGCCCAAAGGUACGCUCAGAUUGGAUGGAAACCAAUCGUCGAGUGCAAUUGCAGAAGCGUGCUUGACUGUGAGACAGACAAGUCGAACAGGGACGAAAGUCGGGAAUAGUGAUCCGGCGGUGCCGAAUGGAAGGGCCGUCGCUCAACGGAUAAAAGCUACCCUGGGGAUAACAGGCUGAUCUCGCCCAAGAGUUCACAUCGACGGCGAGGUUUGGCACCUCGAUGUCGGCUCAUCGCAUCCUGGAGCUGGAUUCGGUUCCAAGGGUUGGGCUGUCCGCCCAUUAAAGCGGUACGCGAGCUGGGUUCAGAACGUCGUGAGACAGUUCGGUCCCUAUCUGUUGUGGGCGAAGGAGAUUUGCGGAGAGCUGUCCUCAGUACGAGAGGACCGGGAUGGACCUACCGCUGGUGCACCGGUUGUUCCGCCAGGGGCAUAGCCGGGUAGCUAAGUAGGGAAAGGAUAAGCGCUGAAAGCAUCUAAGCACGAAGCCUACUCCAAGAUGAGAUCUCCCAUUCGCAAGAAGUAAGACCCCUUAAAGACGAUAAGGUAGAUAGGCCAGGGAUGGAAGUGCAGUGAUGUACGGAGUUGACUGGUACUAAUCGGUCGAGGACUUAAUCAG
rnacentral:rRNA from 1 species